UGCGUAGGGGGCUAGCGUUGUCCGGAAUCAUUGGGCGUAAAGCGCGUGUAGGCGGCCCGGUAAGUCCGCUGUGAAAGUCGGGGGCUCAACCCUCGGAUGCCGGUGGAUACUGUCGGGCUUGAGUACGGAAGAGGCGAGUGGAAUUCCUGGUGUAGCGGUGAAAUGCGCAGAUAUCAGGAGGAACACCUAUUGCGAAGGCAGCUCGCUGGGACGUGACUGACGCUGAGACGCGAAAGCGUGGGGAGCAAACAGG
rnacentral:rRNA from 1 species